rnacentral:rRNA from 1 species
GACGAACGCUGGCGGCGUGCUUAACACAUGCAAGUCGAACGGAAAGGCCCUGCUUUUGUGGGGUGCUCGAGUGGCGAACGGGUGAGUAACACGUGAGUAACCUGCCCUUGACUUUGGGAUAACCUCAGGAAACUGGGGCUAAUACCGGAUAGGAGCUCCUGCUGCAUGGUGGGGGUUGGAAAGUUUCGGCGGCUGGGGAUGGACUCGCGGCUUAUCAGCUUGUUGGUGGGGUAGUGGCUUACCAAGGCUUUGACGGGUAGCCGGCCUGAGAGGGUGACCGGCCACAUUGGGACUGAGAUACGGCCCAGACUCCUACGGGAGGCAGCAGUGGGGAAUAUUGCACAAUGGGCGGAAGCCUGAUGCAGCAACGCCGCGUGCGGGAUGACGGCCUUCGGGUUGUAAACCGCUUUCGCCUGUGACGAAGCGUGAGUGACGGUAAUGGGUAAAGAAGCACCGGCUAACUACGUG